rnacentral:lncRNA from 1 species
CUGUACCACUGCUCUCUGCUGAGGUUCUUGGGCAUCAGUUGCAGUGCUGGGAUGGAAGCUACGGCUUCCCGAGAGUUCUGCUCCUGAGCCACUCCCAGCUCCCGCCCUUCUAGAAUGCCUGUUCGUUAUUCUUCCUCUAGGGAAUUCCUGUGCCAACCUGGGUCUCAACCUGAAUGUUCUUUGCAAAGAAACACACUCUAACAACACACACACACACACACACACACACAUGCACAAACACCACACGCACAAUGCACACACGGGCACACACAUGCGCACACACACCUGCCGCCCCUCCCUUUAAGCUUCUUCUCCCUGCUCCUUCCCCAGCAUGCGUGGCCCUUUCCCUUUGUCCCAGUUCUCCACUAGGCCAUGGGACAGUUGCCUUGGGGACCUUACUUCCUCACUCAAUUCUGAGGCUUCCUCCAAGGUGCCUGGCCCACAGGGCUCCUCAGGGCUUGAGUGACACCAUGAGAUAAGAGGCCACUUCACACAGCCUUUGCUCUCUCCAGCCCCAUGCCACCCGAAUCGCCACCUGGGUUUCCCUCCCACCAGUGGUGGUGGCUUGGUGUCUGCUGAAGGACCCUGUCCUUGUUCUAGGUGAGGGAGGGCUGCAGAAGUCCGUGGGAUCUCUGUCAUCAGGGCAUGGAUCCCAUGCAUGAGGCUCCACCCUGUGACCUCAUUGCCUCCCCCAGCCCCACCUCCAAGUCCCCUCACACCGCGGUGAGAGUCCCCUCGUGGAUUUUGUGUGUCUGUGGCCACGACCAUUCCCACCACGGCUUGUCUGCCCUUUGCCUUUUAACGUGGGGUGAUUUUCUUCUCCUUUGUCUUGAUCUUCUUUGUCUCAUGCACACUUGGAAUGUUUGUGAAUCUCAGGAGCCCGGAAAGGGAAGUCACUUGCCUGAGGUGGUCCCCCGGUUAGGCACGGGGUCAGGACUCUCACCCGGCACCUGCAGCCGGGCCUGGCUGCUGUGGCCGGGCCGGCCUGAGCCUCUGUGUGACAGGAGGCCACGGCCCUCCUCUGGCUGCUGUGCCUGCCUCCCUGCAGCUGUCAGCCAUGUGCCUCUUUGUCUCCUUCCUUCUGGCCUCUGUCCCCGCAUGUGCUCUGUUUCCGCCUGGCUUAUCUCGGCCCCAUGUUCCUUCUUUAAUUUUUAACAGCUUUACUGAGGGAUAAUGAACACACCUCACCACCCACUCAUUUAAAGGCACGGUCGGUGGUUUUGAGAAAGUUACGUAACCUACUGUGACGUUUCACCACCAUCAGGACCUUCUGUGACCUCAGGCCAGUCCCACCCCUGCUGCCUGAAUUCUCCAGGGGGAGGCUUCAGCUGCAGCACCCAGCACACCGCGUGUCCCUGUGUAGGCGCUCCUGGCUGGGACACACUAUGUGCCCCUCACGAGCUGAGCCCUCAUCUCCUUGUCACAUCCCUCCCAUCUCCAUCAUCAGCCGGAUGAUCAGACCUUUGUCACAUAUUUGUCACUGGGAUGAAAAGCAGGUUUAGCAAGUGGCCAGUGAGGAGGCAGGGUAAGGUGCUCCUGAAGGUACUUUGGACCACUUUCCUCAUUUUCUCUGUGGAUCUGGGUCCCCAGAGAGCCUCCUGCACUGACCGGACAGGGCUGGGCUUGUCUUUUGGCUCAAAGGCAGGCGGGAGAGGUUGACACUGUGGGAGGACCGUCUCAGAGCAUUAGGCCAGACCCAAGGAAGUUGUUGAGGAAGGAGGGAAUUAAGAGGCACCUUUGAGAGAAGAGGCUGCUCAGAGGUCAAGUUACUCAACUGCAGGAGGGAGAGGGCCGGGCAGGGCCAGGAGGUUGUCUCAGCAUCUCCUGCUGCGGCCACCAGGUGGCACAGUCAACGCCGAGCAGCUUGGUGGUGCCAGCUGCUGGUGGGGAAGCAGGGUGGGGGCAGCAUGAUGACAGGCAGAGACAAGGACACUGUGGCCAGUGAGUGACUGUCUGUGAUGAUAUCUGGCUUCCUUGGGAAAGUGGUAGGAGCAUCCAGUCCCAGAUGGUGCCCAUGCCAGGGCCUGGGGACGUGGGGGGGGUCGAGGAGUGGAAGUGAUGAGAAACGCCCCCUACUCCUGGGAGCCCCGCUGGACAUGAGCGAGAAGUCAGCAGGGAGAGGGUGGAAUG